rnacentral:rRNA from 1 species
GUGGGGAAUUUUGGACAAUGGGCGCAAGCCUGAUCCAGCAAUGCCGCGUGCAGGAAGAAGGCCUUCGGGUUGUAAACUGCUUUUGUACGGAACGAAACGGCUCUGGUUAAUACCUGGGGCUAAUGACGGUACCGUAAGAAUAAGCACCGGCUAACUACGUGCCAGCAGCCGCGGUAAUACGUAGGGUGCAAGCGUUAAUCGGAAUCACUGGGCGUAAAGGGUGCGUAGGCGGUUUUGUAAGACAGGCGUGAAAUCCCCGGGCUCAACCUGGGAAUGGCGCUUGUGACUGCAUAGCUGGAGUGCGGCAGAGGGGGAUGGAAUUCCGCGUGUAGCAGUGAAAUGCGUAGAUAUGCGGAGGAACACCGAUGGCGAAGGCAAUCCCCUGGGCCUGCACUGACGCUCAUGCACGAAAGCGUGGGGAGCAAACAGGAUUAGAUACCCUGGUAGUCC